GUUCCUGCUCUCCCUUUGCCUUCGCCAUGACCCUGCACUUUCUGAGACCCUCACCAGGCAAAUGCCGCCACCAUGGUUCCUGUACAGCCUGCAGAACCUACUGUCUGUGCCUGUAAACCCCCGUCACCUGAUGGAAUGGAUGUCUGCCCUAUAUCUCAGGGCUUUGUUAUAAACUCAAAUGAAAGGAUAUUUAUGAAAGAACAGUAUGAACUAAACUACAAACACAAGAACGCUGAAUCUCCCGGACUGGCCCUCUGGACUCGAAUAUCAGCACUUGGGGAUGAAUGAAGAAGGUGCAUCAUUUCCAGGGAAGCAGAUUUGCUGUUGACUAAUAAAGACCAUUUACUUGGAGUGGGGCCAACAAAAGCCUAAUUGUCUUUUGUAGCCUGUUUCUGUUUUGUGUUCCAUUUCCG
rnacentral:lncRNA from 10 species